rnacentral:tRNA from 1 species
GGAGGCAUGGCUCAAGUGGUAGAGUGCCAGCCUUGAGCCAGAAAGCUGAGCGGAAGUGCUAGGUCUGAGUUCAAACCUCAGUAUCACCA